rnacentral:misc_RNA from 1 species
AGGGAUUAUGGGACGACUAGGCCGAGUUUUGUGGGGGAAGGGUUCAUGGACGCGUUGCAGCGUUCGAGAAACGCGUUUAAGCUCUUGUUUGUUUACCUGCACUCUCCUGAUCAUCCCGAUACGCCAUUGUUCUGUGAGAGGACAUUGUGUUCGGAGACUGUUGCAGCGUUUGUGAAUGAGAAUUUUGUUUCGUGGGGAGGGAGUAUUCGCGCUAGUGAAGGUUUUAAGAUGAGU